rnacentral:tRNA from 1 species
GCAGCGGUGGCGGAAUGGUAGACGCAGCGGACUCAAAAUCCGCCGGCAGUGAUGUCGUGAGGGUUCGAGUCCCUCCCGCUGUA